CGCGCGCGCGGGCCGUGACCUUGGGAGGGCCCACCCUCCGCCUCCCGCUCCGCCCCUCUCCCGCCUCCUGCUGAGGCCUCUGACAUUUCUGUUAACCUUUCCCGCGGCCCGAGAUAAGGUUACAGCGCGGGGUGCAGUCGCCUCAACCCGGAAAGACUCCCUGUCCAAAGCAGAUCAGCUGUCAAAAAAAAAAAAAAAAGGAGGAGAAAUUUCGCCAGAAGAGCUUCUUCAUUUUCAUGAGUUUCAAAUCUACUCUCAGAGGAUGAAAUUUGUUAUGACUGAAGAUUUUCAAAGGAAGUGCCCACAGACUGUUAAGAGAGUUGCUGAGAAAGAGUUCCAGAAAUGUUAGUACAAAUUUCCAGCUUCAGGAGGAGCUUCACUGAGAGAGUGGCAGACCAGCAGCAGAGAACAUGCUGUAAUGUGUGGGCAGAGAAGCUUCAGCUGGAGAUGUUGGAGCACCCUUAUGACCAACUGCCCCUCAGUCUACCCUGGGAUUUCAAGAACUUGUUAAGAAAACUACCAAUUAUGUGGUUGGCUGCUCUGUUAUUCCCAGUGAAAAGAUUAUUGGGUUGAUACUUCAUAAAUCUUGAUUAUUAAAUAUGUCAAGACACAUAUGCUGGCCUAAUUUGCAAACCUAUCUAGAACCAGAGAAAACUUGGCACCAAACUUUAAAAAAAAAAAAAAGAAUUAAAAAAACCGUUUAUUGUAAAUAGCAAAACAGUGGGUAUGUAAACUACUAUUAAAACAGCAAGCUUCUCUGCUUAUGUCUCUGCCUUGCUCUGUGUGUCUCUCAUAAAUAAAUGAAUACAAUCUUUAAAAAAAUAAAA